rnacentral:rRNA from 1 species
GACUACCGGGGUAUCUAAGCCCGUUCGCUCCCCACGCUUUCGAGCCUCAGCGUCAGUUAUGCGCCAGAAAGCCGCUUUCGCCACCGGUGUUCCUCCAGAUAUCUACGCAUUUCACCGCUACACCUGGAAUUCCGCUUUCCUAUCGCACACUCAAGCCAGGCAGUAUCCAAAGCUAUUCCGGGGUUAAGCCCCGGGCUUUCACUUCAGACUGACUUGGCCGCCUGCGCUCCCUUUACGCCCAGUCAUUCCGAACAACGCUUGCAACCUCCGUAUUACCGCGGCUGCUGGCACGGAGUUAGCCGUUGCUUAUUCCUGAGGUACCGUCAAGCCAAGGGCAUUUCCUCCCCCGGCAGUUCUUCCCUCAGAAAAGGACUUUACGACCCGAAGGCCUUCAUCAUCCACGCGGCAUGGCUGCGUCAGGCUUUCGCCCAUUGCGCAAUAUUCCCCACUGCAGCCCCCCGUAGG